AGAUAACUUGGACUUUACUGAUUCAGAGCAAAGUGAAGACAGUGAUGCUGAGGAGACACACCCACAGACAAUAACAGAAAUGGAGAGUACAUCAGUUUCAGUUUGGACCCAGACUCUUAAGAAGACCUCAGAUGACCAACACCUUUGAAGAGACGGCGCCAACUCCUGCGAGGACUUCAGAUGACGCAACAUCUGGAUCAACGUGAACAUUCCCAAAUUUCUAUAUAUCCUAAUUAUUGUUAAUAUGUAAUUCAUUAUUUCCAGGAGCUCAUUGCUUCUACCUUCAAUUAAACCGCUAACAGUGAUUGUAAAUUAAAUUGCCUAAAUUAUUACAUCGUUAGCUAACUGCAUUCUCUAAAUUGUAAUGUUGAUAUCAUAGCAACGACAGAUGCCCUGGGAGCGCAAGCGCUUGGGAAAGAAGAGUUACGUUCCAAAUGACGCACUAUACCAUGCACUUUAUACACUAUAGUUGUGUCCCAAAUGACACCCUAUGCACUUAUACACUAUGUACAUAUGCACUAUGUACUCAUCGAUGUAGUGUAUGAAUUUUAUAAGCUUAUUUUGUCAUUAAACAUCGGAGUCUGAUCCCCCCUCCUCCUCAGAAAUGUAAUUAAAGCUGCGACAGUUGAGUGCAUGAAGUGUCCAACAUUCCACACUUCAUUUUUUCCAUUAAUUUAGUGCAUCGUUCGGAUAUUUAAAGUGCACUUUUUCUUUUUGGAAGUUUCUGUGUGAACGCACUAC